GCCGCCUUAGCUCAGAGGAAGAGCAUGUGGCUUUUAACCACGUGGUCGUAGGUUCGAUCCCCACAGGCGGCA
rfam:Glycine max cultivar Williams 82 chromosome 14, whole genome shotgun sequence.